rnacentral:rRNA from 1 species
GACGAACGCUGGCGGCGUGCUUAACACAUGCAAGUCGAACGGAAAGGCCCUGCUUUUGUGGGGUGCUCGAGUGGCGAACGGGUGAGUAACACGUGAGUAACCUGCCCUUGACUUUGGGAUAACUUCAGGAAACUGGGGCUAAUACCGGAUAGGAGCUCCUGCUGCAUGGUGGGGGUUGGAAAGUUUCGGCGGUUGGGGAUGGACUCGCGGCUUAUCAGCUUGUUGGUGGGGUAGUGGCUUACCAAGGCUUUGACGGGUAGCCGGCCCGAGAGGGUGACCGGCCACAUUGGGACUGAGAUACGGCCCAGACUCCUACGGGAGGCAGCAGUGGGGAAUAUUGCACAAUGGGCGGAAGCCUGAUGCAGCAACGCCGCGUGCGGGAUAACGGCCUUCGGGUUGUAAACCGCUUUCGCCUGUGACGAAGCGUGAGUGACGGUAAUGGGUAAAGAAGCACCGGCUAACUACGUG